rnacentral:rRNA from 1 species
CCGCGUGAGUGAUGAAGGCUUUCGGGUCGUAAAACUCUGUUGUUAGGGAAGAACAAGUGCUAAUUGAAUAAGCUGGCCCCUUGACGGUACCUAACCACAACCCCACGGCUAACUACGUGCCUACAGCCGCGGUAAUACAUAGGUGGCAAGCGUUAUCCGGAAUUAUUGGGCGUAAAGCGCGCGCAUGUGGUUUCUUAACUCUGAUGUGGAAGCCCACGGCGCAACCGUGGAGGGUCAUUGAAAACUGGGAAACUUGAAUGCAGAAGAGGAAAGUGGAAUUCCAUGUGUAGCGGUGAAAUGCGUAAAGAUAUGGAGGAACACCAGUGGCGAAGGCGACUUUCUGGUCUGUAACUGACACUGAGGCGCGAAAGCGUGGGGAGCAAACAGGAUUACAUACCCUGGUAGUCCACGCCGUAAACGAUGAGUGCUAAGUGUUAGAGGGUUUCCGCCCUUUAUUGCUGAAG